UUGUGCAGUAUCAUAGGCCUCCAAAUCAGCACGGAAUGCACCUGAGGAAGAGGAAUCACUACCAGCAGAUCUGGGCCUUGAAGUUGAGAAAAUUAUUUGGGAGAUCAGGAGGUGCCUGUCUGAAAGAUCUCCCUCUGCUCAGGACAAUGUUAGUGUUGCCCCUGAUUCUUCAGGAGGCGAGCCUAUGGACAGAGCUGCAGCAGAGGAAGCUUCAUCUGGCACCGAGAGCUGCAGGAAGAGUUCCCAGGAGCCCGAGGAGCCUGAUGCCAUCUGACCAACAUCUCCAGGAGGGCUGCCCUGCAUGGCAGGAAUAGACAGGGGAGAGCCUGUGACCAUCGGGCAGGUAAAACUCUUCUGUUUACAAUUACAUAUAGAGAUACAUUCAGUUACAUAUGCAGAUAUAUAUUCAGGUAUCUAUAUAGCUAUAUUUAUAGAUUUAUACAAUUGUAUUUAUAUGUCUACAUAUUUGUAAUUAUUAAUCAGCGCAGUUAAAUUUACAUAUGUAGUUGUAGAUGUAUAUAGUUACAUUUUUUUUAUAGAUGUAGCUGUAUUUAUAGAUGUGCAUAGUUGCAUUUAUACAUGUGUAGUUACAUUUAUAGAUGUAUAUAGUUACAUUUAUAAACUGGCAUAAUUCUAUUUAUAUACUUAGAGGCAUGCGGAUGUUUAGAUACAUACAUUGAGCUCUGUAGGCCUAGGCUGCAUUUUUACCUCUUCCCCACCUCGACUGCCUUUUUCACCUCUUGCUUUUCCCCCUGUGCCCCCUCUGUCCCCUCUCCCUGUGCUGGGUCCGAGCUGGCGGCCGGGCUGGGUGGAGCAGCAGUUCCAGCCCCGGGUGUCCCUGGAGCGGUGGGAGCUGGCGCUGGCCCCAGGCACUGUCCCCUGAGGAGCUGCUGAAGGACGCUGCAAUGAGGACCUUGAGGACAGGCGGAGACUGACGGGAGCCAGCAGGGAGAAGCUGAAGGCCAGCAGCAGAGGCAGUGAACGGGGACCUGCUGCUGCCAGCCUGGAGAGAGCCCGGACAGCCCCAUCUGCUGUCCCUGUCCAGGAGAGCUGCUCUGCACGGGAGGAAGAGACUGAGGGAGAGGCUUUGGAGAUGGGGCAGCUGGGAUCACUCUGCUUGGAGCUCUGUUUAAAGAUACGCGGACUUGCACGCAGGCAGUGAUAAUUACAUGGGUAAUUCCAUAUGUGAGUUGCCAUUUGCAUAGGAAUAUUUCUAUGUGUAUGUGUUUAUGUAUAUAUGUAUAUAUAUAUAUAUGCAUACAUAUAUGUUUAUAAUGUAUGUGUAUAUCUGUAUCUAAGUAUGCAUAUUAAUUUCUGUAUAUUGUGGUAGUUAUAUGACACAGGCAGUCACUUGGUGAUCUUCCAGCUAGCAGUCACCUCCUGGCCCCUGCCAAAAGUGGCUGCCCCCUAUCUGUCCCUCGGGUUGGACUGGGUGGCAGUAGAGCAGCGCUGCCUAACUCCCAGAGGCAGCAAAGCUGCCCUCUGCAGCUGCUGACAGGAAUCCCAAGUCGAGGAAGCCAGAACAAAGGAGAUGAGAUGGGCCACUUGUGUAAAUUCUCAAGAACAUUUAAUGUCCCAGAGAGUCCACAGACAAGUAACAAAGUUCUGACAGGGUAACAGCAACUUAAGAACAAGGGAGGGUACUAGGGGAGGAUAACCAAUAGUAGAACAGCAGGGGAGGAAUGUAGGGCGGGGAUCAGAGUCUACGUAACCAAUAGGAGAUAAAAUGGGAGGGGAUCAGGCUUGGCACACCAAUGGAACUUUGAGGGAAGGGUGAUAGCAAGGAAGGUUCUAGAGAAAGGGGUGGGGUUACAUUUGAUGAACAAGGGAAGUGAGAUGUACUUCCAAGAUUGGCAGGGAAGAGUGUGGAAAUCAGGGAAGUGCAAGGAACAUUGACAUGGGCACUGACAUAAGAUUAGGCUGGAAAAUAGUAGUAAACAACUUCGGGGCAAAACCAGUAAGGAAACUGAACAGGAUACGUGGAACAAACCACUAUAAACUCACAAUAAGGAACACCUUAAUAUUACAAAAGAAAAACAAUCUACCAGAGUUAUAUAUGUAUUACUUUCUAUUUAACUGUGUAUGCAGUUCUUUGGUUGUGUAACUCUCUCUAUUGAGUUCUUGGUACAGAGUUAUUUAGAGAGAGCUACUGACAUUUUUGAAUUCCUAGAUGGGCUUUACCCUUAUAUUAAUAUGUAAUAAAUUAAGUUUUUAAACACGUAAUUAAUCUUUGUGUGUAGAGAAUUGAUGUAGAGGUUGGCAAUAAAUUAAGUUUUUUUAACUGAAGUUGGUAUUGGUAUAUUUUACAUAGCAUUGUACUAAUGCAAUAAAUUCCUGGUUUUAACCUAAAGUGAAAUCUGUAUAGUUCUGCAUUGUCAGUGUGGGUGUAGCAAUUUGUAAUAAAUGAC